rnacentral:rRNA from 1 species
UNUGACUUGAGUGCAGAAGGGGAGAGUGGAAUUCCAUGUGUAGCGGUGAAAUGCGUAGAUAUAUGGAGGAACACCAGUGGCGAAAGCGGCUCUCUGNUCUGUCACUGACGCUGAGGCUCGAAAGCGUGGGUAGCGAACAGGAUUAGAUACCCUGGUAGUNCACGCCGUAAACGAUGAGUGCUAGGUGUUAGGCCCUUUCCGGGGCUUAGUGCCGGAGCUAACGCAAUAAGCACUCCGCCUGGGGAGUACGACCGCAAGGUUGAAACUCAAAGGAAUUGACGGGGGCCCGCACAAGCGGUGGAGCAUGUGGUUUAAUUCGAAGCAACGCGAAGAACCUUACCAGGUCUUGACAUCCCGAUGCUAUUCUUAGAGAUAGGAAGUUACUUCGGUACAUCGGAGACAGGUGGUGCAUGGUUGUCGUCAGCUCGUGUCGUGAGAUGUUGGGUUAAGUCCCGCAACGAGCGCAACCCUUAUUGUUAGUUGCCAUCAUUAAGUUGGGCACUCUAGCGAGACUGCCGGUAAUAAACCGGAGGAAGGUGGGGAUGACGUCAAAUCAUCAUGCCCCUUAUGACCUGGGCUACACACGUGCUACAAUGGUCGGUACAACGAGUUGCGAGCCGGUGACGGCAAGCUAAUCUCUGAAAGCCGAUCUCAGUUCGGAUUGGAGGCUGCAACUCGCCUCCAUGAAGUCGGAAUCGCUAGUAAUCGCGGAUCAGCACGCCGCGGUGAAUACGUUCCCGGGCCUUGUACACACCGCCCGUCACACCACGAGAGUUUGUAACACCCGAAGUCG